AAAUUGACGGGGACCCGCACAAGCGUGGAGCAUGUGGUUUAAUUCGAAGCAACGCGAAGAACCUUUACCAGGUCUUGACAUCCCGAUGCUAUUUCUAGAGAUAGAAAGUUACUUCGGUACAUCGGUGACAGGUGGUGCAUGGUUGUCGUCAGCUCGUGUCGUGAGAUGUUGGGUUAAGUCCCGCAACGAGCGCAACCCCUAUUGUUAGUUGCCAUCAUUCAGUUGGGCACUCUAGCGAGACUGCCGGUAAUAAACCGGAGGAAGGUGGGGAUGACGUCAAAUCAUCAUGCCCCUUAUGACCUGGGCUACACACGUGCUACAAUGGUUGGUACAACGAGUUGCGAGUCGGUGACGGCGAGCUAAUCUCUUAAAGCCAAUCUCAGUUCGGAUUGUAGGCUGCAACUCGCCUACAUGAAGUCGGAAUCGCUAGUAAUCGCGGAUCAGCACGCCGCGGUGAAUACGUUCCCGGGCCUU
rnacentral:rRNA from 1 species